AAAAAAGAAAGAUGAGCGUUGCUGAGUAAGUAGUGUCUGUGGCCACGCUCGAUACUGCCAACGACUUUAAAGGUAAAUUGAGACUGACUGCUCUAUAAAUCACCUUUCAUCCUAAAUAACUUCUCAACAUUAUUUGUAUAUCAGUCAGUCAUCAUUUACCCAUGAGACAUCACGUGUUUGACGCUCUCGAACACAGUUGUCACGCACAUGCGCAAACGAUGGUCUAAUACAAUUGCAAUUUGACGAAGCAUUGCAUCACCCUUCAAUUUUAAACAAGUACCAAGCGGCCAGAAAUAUGUACAUUUCUAUGUUAUAUAUUUGACAGAAAUAGUUUAAUAUAUCUGGACUCUGAGCCAGGGCGUCGAAAGGGGUUACAUUCACAUCGCUUGGAUUGAGCAUAUGAGGGCUAAAUGUUAAAGCAAUUGCCACCUAUCCAACAAUUUCAUUAGAUAACGAAUCUAAGUAACGUCUUCAUUCAAUGGUUCGUUGGUUUGAUCUUUACAGUAGACAACAUUAUUGUAUACAUUGUAGCCUAUGGCAGGCUUGUAGACCUAAUCUCGUGUGCGUUAACAGGAUUGGUCCAGUUUUAUUCUAGUGAAGGCACCAGACUAAGGGUUAAAGCGCACCACAAACUGAAAACAGAAAAGGGCCACUUUACAGGCCAGUGCAUUCUUUAUGGGACUGUUGAGUACAACACAUUUGGCCUGGUCCUGGAGAGCCCCAGCCAUCUCUCCCUCCGCUACUUUGUGUAAGCCAUCUCUGUAUCUGUGGCAAUCUACUGGUUCUACACCAGCUGUGUGGAAGAGAAGGUCAAGAGCUCCUAUCCUGCAUCCCCAGGGAAAGACUGUGGCUGAAUGUCACUCUGGGCAUGUGUGUGAAGAUAUUGUUCUUACUGGCGGUGUCAGGGACCGCCUCUUUCUGUCUGCCCUUCAAAACGUGCCCUCCAUAACCAGUCGUGAUGAAGCAGACCAUAAAACCUGAGUCAGUCCCUUCGAUGGGAAUCAGUUCUACACAGGCGUGUAUAAUGCAGAGAGGUCUGCCCUGACACUAUCCAUAUCAUGAUGACACAUCAAAACGCUGUUGCCUUAUUAGACCACAGAUACUUUUUUAUAGCCCUUGUAUUGACAUUUUUAUUUAAAGCCAUAUUGUAUUCUUAAUCUGUCCUCUAUUUCUUUGUCUUUCCCAGAAGUCUGUGUGGGUGAACUUCUUCUUCUGGGUGCUGAUCGUGGCGGUGGUGUUUGUCCAGAAACAUCAGGGGUCAGGGUCAGAAUGGAGCACGUCUGAAACAGAACUCUUCUUCCACCGACCUGUCUGACCCCACUGACCUAACCUAUAGCCCGAUGGGUUCCAUUAUGUGUCUUUGGAUCCAGUUCCCUGCAUGCAAGAACCUAUUAUUGGCCCAAGAUCAAAUAACAGGGGCUUGUAAAACAGGAUGUUUCGGUCAUCAAUGGGGCAACCUAACUACAACAUGUUUUCACUAUGGAAUAGUGGGAAGUACAAUUAACUUUGGAAGUAACCUCUUCCAUUUUUGUAUACUUAAAUCAAUUAGUUACACAAUUCAGUCCCUUCCUGAUAUAUAGGAUGAUCUGUUCAAAUUAUACUGUACUGAUAUGUACGUCUGUGAAAGACAAAACAUUUCC